rnacentral:rRNA from 1 species
GACGAACGCUGGCGGCGUGCCUAAUACAUGCAAGUAGGACGCAGUUGCGCACGUGUGAGUAACGCGUCGGUAAAUGCCUAUUAGAGGGGGCUAACUAUUGGACACGAUACCUAAUACCGCAUACUAGUAGAUGUACCUGCUUUGUAGUAGCUAGUAGGUAGGGUAAUGCCCUACCUAGGCGACGAUACAUAACCGAGCUGGGGAGGUGAUCGGCCACACUGGGAAUGGGACAACGGCCAGACGCCUACGGGAGGCAGCAGAAGGGAAUCUUCGACAAUGGGGGGAACGCUGGACGGGCAACGGCGCGUGAGUGAAAGAGGGUUUCGGAUCGUAAAGCUCUGUUGUUAGGGGAGCGGUACUUAACCAGAAAGGAACGGCUAACUACGUGCCAGCAGCCGCGGUAAUUC